CAGCCGCCGCGGUAAUACGUAGGUGGCAAGCGUUGUCCGGAAUUAUUGGGCGUAAAGGGCUCGCAGGCGGUUUCUUAAGUCUGAUGUGAAAGCCCCCGGCUCAACCGGGGAGGGUCAUUGGAAACUGGGAAACUUGAGUGCAGAAGAGGAGAGUGGAAUUCCACGUGUAGCGGUGAAAUGCGUAGAGAUGUGGAGGAACACCAGUGGCAAAGGCGACUCUCUGGUCUGUAACUGACGCUGAGGAGCGAAAGCGUGGGGAGCGAACAGGAUUAGAUACCCCAGUAGUCCCUGUCUCUUAUAC
rnacentral:rRNA from 1 species